rnacentral:rRNA from 1 species
CACGUAGGUGGAUAUUUAAGUCGGAUGUGAAAGCCCUGGGCUUAACCUGGGAAUUGCCUCCGAUACUGGAUGUCUAGAGUAUGGUAGAGGGUAGUGGAAUUUCCGGUGUAGCGGUGAAAUGCGUAGAUAUCGGAAGGAACACCAGUGGCGAAAGCGGCUACCUGGACCAAUACUGACACUUAGGUGCGAAAGCGUGGGGAGAAC